rnacentral:rRNA from 1 species
UACGAAGGGGGCUAGCGUUGCUCGGAAUCACUGGGCGUAAAGCGCACGUAGGCGGCUUUCUAAGUCAGGGGUGAAAUCCUGGAGCUCAACUCCAGAACUGCCCUUGAUACUGGCAAUCUAGAGUCCGGAAGAGGUGAGUGGAACUCCUAGUGUAGAGGUGGAAUUCGUAGAUAUUAGGAAGAACACCAGUGGCGAAGGCGGCUCACUGGUCCGGUACUGACGCUGAGGUGCGAAAGCGUGGGGAGCAAACAGG